rnacentral:tRNA from 1 species
GUUAAUAUAGUUUAAACUAAAACUUUAGAUUGUGAUUCUAAUGAUAGGGGUUAAAACCCCCUUGUUGACC